CGGAGGAUCCAAGCGUUAUCCGGAAUCAUUAGGUUUAAAGGGUCCGUAGGCGGUUUAGUAAGUCAGUGGUGAAAGCCCAUCGCUCAACGGUGGAACGGCCAUUGAUACUGCUAGACUUGAAUUAUUAGGAAGUAACUAGAAUAUGUAGUGUAGCGGUGAAAUGCUUAGAGAUUACAUGGAAUACCAAUUGCGAAGGCAGGUUACUACUAAUGGAUUGACGCUGAUGGACGAAAGCGUGGGUAGCGAACAGGAUUAGAUACCCUGGUAGUCCACGCCGUAAACGAUGGAUACUAGCUGUUGGGAGCGAUCUCAGUGGCUAAGCGAAAGUGAUAAGUAUCCCACCUGGGGAGUACGUUCGCAAGAAUG
rnacentral:rRNA from 1 species